rnacentral:rRNA from 1 species
UGCGCAGGCGGUUAUGUAAGACAGAUGUGAAAUCCCCGGGCUCAACCUGGGAACUGCAUUUGUGACUGCAUGGCUAGAGUACGGUAGAGGGGGAUGGAAUUCCGCGUGUAGCAGUGAAAUGCGUAGAUAUGCGGAGGAACACCGAUGGCGAAGGCAAUCCCCUGGACCUGUACUGACGCUCAUGCACGAAAGCGUGAGGAGCAAACA